rnacentral:rRNA from 1 species
UACGGGGGGGUGCGAGCGUUGUCCGGAAUCACUGGGCGUAAAGGGCGCGUAGGCGGCCAACUAAGUCAGACGUGAAAUCCCUCGGCUUAACCGGGGAACUGCGUCUGAUACUGGAUGGCUUGAGUUUGGGAGAGGGAUGCGGAAUUCCAGGUGUAGCGGUGAAAUGCGUAGAUAUCUGGAGGAACACCGGUGGCGAAGGCGGCGAUCCUGGACCAACACUGACGCUGAUGAGCGAAAGCCAGGGGAGCAAA